GACUCGGUGGUGGAUGGUCCACGUCCACAACUCGUAGAUAGGCUGAUGAGACGUUGAAUGUGGAUGUCGCCUGUUCGAAUCAGGCCCGAGUCA